ensembl:lncRNA
UUAACACAAGCCUGUAGAAGUAACAUGCAUGUUAAAAAUCUCUAAAUUUCCAUCACAGUGAACUAAAAGCUACUGAUGUCUUCUGAUCAUGAUAUCUGAGCAGUGGCACAUGGGAAGAGAUUGCCAGAAAAUCCUGAGACUAAAAGUUCCAGCCAAAGAAUCAUGGCCAAAUAUUAAAUCACAUAAUCCAUAUGAGUAGUAAACAUUUGUUGGCUCAGUUAUCACUGCUGAUGGCUAAGAAUGGGGGGAAAAAAAGAUCAUUCAUUUUCUCUGAAGGACUCCCUGGGAAUGUGAACUGAAAUAUUUAGUAUAGAUGGAUGAAUUGCUUUCCUUUGCAUGCUUUUUUCUAAAUACGUAGUAUUUCCUCUGCUGCAUUAUCCUAAUACUAAGAAAAACUUUAUCAUCCGUUCUGCGCAGUUAAUGUGAACGUACUCUAUAUCCCUUUAUUUUAUGGUGUAUUUGUAUGCAGGUAAACUACAGACUUCUAUCUGAAGGAAGAGGAGAUAGUUUAUUCAGGGAAAAUGUUUAUAAUGCAGAUUCUGGCAAACUACAUUAUCAUAAGGAUUUAAAAAUUCUUAAACUUUAUAAAAAGUCAUCUCAAGCUGAAUGCAGCUGUACCCUGGCUGAGAAAAUGUCUUCAUUGUCAACUUUCUCAGACUGUAUAGAGAAGGUAAGAAAUAAAGCUGAAGUAUCAAAAUGAUUGUCUUUUAAAUUCUGGUACUUAGCUGGAUACCCAACCAGUAUUUGAGAAGAACUGCAGGUGAAAAAUGUGUUUUAAUUGGACUGUAAAGGAGACAUUCCAAACCAUUAUUUACAAGGCUUGAAAGGCGUAAUGAAUGUCUGAAACAACUAGGUCAGUUCUUCCUUUAAAUUUAUCCACAUAAUAUAUAUAUUUUAGUUUCCACGAAUGAAGCAUUCAGUUGUAAUGUUUCCAAUCAAAUUCACACUUACAUAUUUCAAGUUUAUUACAAAUCUAACAUCUCCUCAUUUUGUCACAGUGAUUGAAGUCAAUCACAGGACAGGCUGGGAAGUCAAAGGUAAGGAUAAGGUAAAUUUAAUGUUAUAGAACAAUUCUGACACUAGUGAGUCCAUGGCAAAACCCAGUGAUGUCAGUAAAAUCAGGAGUGACAAUCUUAGAAGAUCAUGUAGAUAAUCAUUGUGAGGACGAUCAUCUCAUGCAUCUGCUUUGUAUAAGGUUCCAAGAUUCCUACUCAUAGUGGAUGCUGCUGUAAUCUCAGUGUAAAAAAAAAAAAAAAAAUUGUGACAUUAUACAUGAGGAAUGUCAUGGAAAACACCAUGAUGGUAAUUAAUGUUUUUAAGAUAAUAAUUAUACUGACUCAAAUAGUAAACAAAUAGAAAAAUUGCUUAGUUUAGGGAAUAUACUUCAAUAGAAUAGCCAGAAGUUGUCAGGAGUUGCUCAGUGCAAUGAUGUGAAGCUUCUGUGUCACUUUCCCCACAUCCAGCCAGUUGCAAGGCUUAACAUACCUUUCCAACAGAUGUAUGUGCCCACGUGAAUGUAUUUAUAAGCAUGUAUGCAUAAAUGCAUAAAAACAAAUAUAUGUAGGCAUAUAUGUACAUACAUAUGUAGGUAUACAUAUAUGUGUGUAUACAUACGCAUACAGGGCAGGUUGCAGAGAAACUCAUGAUAUUCAUGCAAAUAAGAACAUUGAUGGCAUGAUCCUGUUCACUACCUUCGCUAU